CCAUGAUGUUUCUGUGCUCUCUGACUGUCUUUAUGAUUAUGCUAAGGAACUCUUCUGCACAGUCAAUAGAACCACUGGGGAACAAAACAAAGGUUCAUGCUCGUGAAGAUGAGACAGUUACUCUCUCCUGCGAGUAUGUAGAUAGUGGUACUGUGCAGAGUCUUCAGUGGUAUCGUCAGUAUCCUGGAUCCAGACCAGAGUAUUUACUGCUGAAAUAUCCAGGAUCAGCUGAUGUGACCCGUGCAGAUCCUACUUUCUUACGACUGGAUGCUACAGAUGACAAUA